CCUACGGGUGGCAGCAGUGGGGAAUAUUGCACAAUGGGGGAAACCCUGAUGCAGCGACGCCGCGUGAGUGAAGAAGUAAUUCGUUAUGUAAAACCCUAUCAGCAGGGGAGCAAAUGACGGUACCUGAGUAAGAAGCCGCGUCUAACUACGUGCCAGCAGCGGACGUAAUACGUAGGGGGCAAGCGUUAUCCGGAUUUACUGGGUGUAAAGGGGGCGUAGACGGGAGUGCAGGUCUGGAGUGAAAGGCGGGGGCUCAACCCCCGGACUGCUCUGGAAACUGUACGGCUGGAGUGCAGGAGAGGUAAGUGGAAUUCCGAGUGUAGCGGUGAAAUGCGUAGAUAUUAGGAGGAACACCAGUGGCGAAGGCGGCUUACUGGACUGUAACUGACGUUGAGGCUCGAAAGCGUGGGGAGCAAACAGGAUUAGAUACCCCAGUAGUC
rnacentral:rRNA from 1 species